UACGUAGGGGGCUAGCGUUGUCCGGAAUCAUUGGGCGUAAAGCGCGCGUAGGCGGCUAGAUCAGUCUGCUGUAAAAGUCAAAGGCUCAACCUUUGAAAGCCGGUGGAUACUGUCUAGCUAGAGUCCGGAAGAGGCGAGUGGAAUUCCUGGUGUAGCGGUGAAAUGCGCAGAUAUCAGGAGGAACACCAAUUGCGAAGGCAGCUCGCUGGGACGUUACUGACGCUGAGACGCGAAAGCGUGGGGAGCAAACAGG
rnacentral:rRNA from 1 species